CGUGUAGGCGGGAGAGAAAGUCGGGCGUGAAAUCCCUGGGCUCAACCCAGGAACUGCACCCGAAACUUCUUUUCUUGAGUGCCGGGGAGGAAAGCGGAAUACCUGGUGUAGAGGUGAAAUUCGUAGAUAUCAGGUGGAACACCAGUGGCGAAGGCGGCUUUCUGGACGGUAACUGACGCUGAGACGCGAAAGCGUGGGGAGCAAACA
rnacentral:rRNA from 1 species